UGGGGAAUAUUGCACAAUGGGGGAAACCCUGAUGCAGCGACGCCGCGUGAGUGAAGAAGUAUUUCGGUAUGUAAAGCUCUAUCAGCAGGGACGAUAAUGACGGUACCUGACUAAGAAGCCCCGGCUAACUACGUGCCAGCAGCCGCGGUAAUACGUAGGGGGCAAGCGUUAUCCGGAUUUACUGGGUGUAAAGGGAGCGUAGACGGUGAUGUAAGUCAGAUGUGAAAGCCCGGGGCUCAACCCCGGGACUGCAUUUGAAACUAUGUUACUAGAGUGCAGGAGAGGUAAGUGGAAUUCCUAGUGUAGCGGUGAAAUGCGUAGAUAUUAGGAGGAACACCAGUGGCGAAGGCGGCUUACUGGACUGUAACUGACGUUGAGGCUCGAAAGCGUGGGGAGCAAACAGGAUUAGAUACCCACGUAGUCCCUGAGCGGGCUGGCAAGGCGCAU
rnacentral:rRNA from 1 species